rnacentral:rRNA from 1 species
GAUGAACGCUGGCGGCGUGCCUAAUACAUGCAAGUCGAGCGAACAGAUAAGGAGCUUGCUCCUUUGACGUUAGCGGCGGACGGGUGAGUAACACGUGGGUAACCUACCUAUAAGACUGGGAUAACUUCGGGAAACCGGAGCUAAUACCGGAUAAUAUUUCGAACCGCAUGGUUCGAUAGUGAAAGAUGGUUUUGCUAUCACUUAUAGAUGGACCCGCGCCGUAUUAGCUAGUUGGUAAGGUAACGGCUUACCAAGGCGACGAUACGUAGCCGACCUGAGAGGGUGAUCGGCCACACUGGAACUGAGACACGGACCAGACUCCUACGGGAGGCAGCAGUAGGGAAUCUUACGCAAUGGGCGAAAGCCUGACGGAGCAACGCCGCGUGAGUGAUGAAGGUCUUCGGAUCGUAAAACUCUGUUAUUAGGGAAGAACAUACGUGUAAGUAACUGUGCACGUCUUGACGGUACCUAAUCAGAAAGCCACGGCUAACUACGUG